rnacentral:rRNA from 1 species
CCUACGGGCGGCUGCAGUGAGGAAUAUUGGGCAAUGGGCGCGAGCCUGAACCAGCCAAGUCGCGUGAGGGAUGACGGUCCUACGGAUUGUAAACCUCUUUUGCCGGGGAGCAAGCGUGCGUUCGUGAACGCGCGUCGCGAGUAACCGGAGAAAAAGCAUCGACUAACUCCGUACCAGCAGCCGCGUUAAUACGGGGGAGUCGAGCGUUAUCCGGAUUUAUUGGGUUUAAGGGGUGCGUAGGAGGGAUGCAAAGGCAGCGGUAAAAAUGCGGUGCUCAACGCCGUCGAGCCGUUGAAACUGGCGUUCUUGAGUGGGCGAGAAGUAGGCGGAAUGCGUGGUGUAGCGGGGAAAUGCAUAGAUAUCACGCAGAACUCCGAUUGCGAAGGCAGCAUACCGGCGCCCUACUGACGCUGAGGCACGAAAGCGUGGGUAUCGAACAGGAUUAGAUACCCUAGUAGUC